GAGACGGAGUCUUCGCUUUGUCACCAGUCUGGAGUGCAGUGGCAUGAUCCCGGCUCACCGCAACCUCUGCCUCCCGGGUUCAAGUGAUUCUCCUGCCUCAGCCUCCUGAGCAGCUGGGACGACAGGCAGAAUGAGGCAGAAUGACACUGGACAAUCACUGUGGGAGGAGGAAGAUGAGUUUAAAGUAAAGAUCAAAUUCUCCAGGUCUGUACCCUAAUAAGAGAUGGUGGGCCAGACGUGGUGGCUGAUGCCUGUAUUCCCAGCCCUUUGGGAGGCCGAGGCAGGCGAAUCACGAGGUCAAGAGACUGAGAUCAUCCUGGCCAACAUGGUGAAACCCGAUCUUUACAAAAAAUACAAAAAAUUAGCUGGGCUUUGUGGCACACGCCUGCAGUCCCAGCUACUUGGAGGCUGAGGCAGGAGAAUCACUUGAACCUGGGAGGCAGAGGUUGCAGUGAACCGAGAUCGUGCCACUGCACUCCAGCCUGGUGACAGAGAGAGACUCCAUCUCAAAUAAAUAAAUAAAUAAAUAAGGCCGGCCGUGGUGGCUCAUGCCUGUAAUCUCAGCACUUUGGGAGGCCGAGGCAGGUGGAUCACGAGGUCAGGAGAUGGAGACCAUCCUGGCUAACACAGUGAAACCCCGUCUCUACUAAAAAAUACAAAAAAUUAGCCGGGCGUGGUGGCGGGCGCCUGUGGUCCCAGCUACUCGGGAGGCUGAGGCAGGAGAAUGGCGUGAACCUGGGAGGCGGAGCUUGCAGUGAGCCGAGAUUGCGCCACUGCACUCCAGCCUGGGUGACAGAGCGAGAUUCUGUCUCAAAAUAAAUAAAUAAAUAAGUAAAUAAAUAAACAAAUAAAUAAAUAAAAAGAGAUGGUGCCUUCCUUGAGGUUAAAUAUAAUCUCCUUUUGUUCUUUUUAAAAAUUAAUACAUCGAUUCUAUCCCAGUGUCAUACAUUUGUCUUAGAUAGUGCUCAAUGAAUAUAUGUCAAAAGAAUUAAAAAAUAAAUGAGGAAACAGAAGAAGAAAGAAAAAAAGAAGAUGGUCUGCUUCUAUAGCUCACAUUUAACACUGUAUUUCACUAAGAAACCCAACAUAGAGAAGACGUGUGAUGCGUCAUGUAGGCUAACUGGUGUAUUUUGAUUCAAUAUACCCUCAAAAUAAGUUCAUAAGUGAGCUUCAUGAAUGAGAUAUAGACCUCUGAAGACCUGAUACUUUACCAACAUUAACUGAAUUUUUAUGCAGUGGUGAUGAUACCAAGGCAAGGCACCCUGAGUACCUAUGUGUGGAUCUCAGAGAUUAACGGUAUAGACCCUGGUCGGUCCCCCUAAGUUUAAACCAUAGCUCCAUUAUUAACCAUCUAAAUAAACCUAGCCCAGCUAAGAAAUUUUCUCAUUUGUUAAUUAAAAUGAAAUGAGUGUCUACCCUCAAAGGUAAUGUUAAAGAUUUAAUUAAACUAUGCAAUGCCCUUGUCUAUUGAUAUCAAUGGAAAUUUAAUUAAAACAUGCAAUUGUUGUUAUAAAUGGAUUGAAAUAAAAUGAUUAUUUCCCACAUCCAUUUUUUUAAAAUGGAAAAACACUUUUACUUAAGUUGUUCAUUUCUAGGCAGUAAAAACAUGGGAAUUUGUUAUAUUUACUCACAAGAUACAGAUAUCAAUCUUCCACAUUUUUCUUUCCUACAAAAGAUAUCGUGGCUUAUGUUUAUUGUUUAUCUCAUUCCCAC
rnacentral:lncRNA from 10 species